UACGUAGGGACCAAGCGUUGUCCGGAAUUAUUGGGCGUAAAGAGCUCGUAGGCGGUCUGUCGCGUCUGCUGUGAAAACUCAGGGCUUAACCCUGAGCUUGCAGUGGGUACGGGCAGACUAGAGUGCGGUAGGGGAGACUGGAAUUCCUGGUGUAGCGGUGAAAUGCGCAGAUAUCAGGAGGAACACCGGUGGCGAAGGCGGGUCUCUGGGCCGUAACUGACGCUGAGGAGCGAAAGCAUGGGGAGCGAACAGG
rnacentral:rRNA from 1 species